UGGGGAAUAUUGCACAAUGGGCGCAAGCCUGAUGCAGCCAUGCCGCGUGUAUGAAGAAGGCCUUCGGGUUGUAAAGUACUUUCAGCGAGGAGGAAGGCGGUAAGGUUAAUAACCUUAUCGAUUGACGUUACUCGCAGAAGAAGCACCGGCUAACUCCGUGCCAGCAGCCGCGGUAAUACGGAGGGUGCAAGCGUUAAUCGGAAUUACUGGGCGUAAAGCGCACGCAGGCGGUCUGUCAAGUCGGAUGUGAAAUCCCUGGGCUCAACCUGGGAACUGCAUUCGAAACUGGCAGGCUAGAGUCUUGUAGAGGGGGGUAGAAUUCCAGGUGUAGCGGUGAAAUGCGUAGAGAUCUGGAGGAAUACCGGUGGCGAAGGCGGCCCCCUGGACAAAGACUGACGCUCAGGUGCGAAAGCGUGGGGAGCAAACA
rnacentral:rRNA from 1 species